rnacentral:rRNA from 1 species
UACGUAGGGGGCAAGCGUUGUCCGGAUUUAUUGGGCGUAAAGAGCGUGUAGGCGGCCUGGAAGGUCAGCUGUGAAAACUCGAGGCUCAACCUCGAGACGUCGGUUGAAACCACCUGGCUAGAGUCCGGAAGAGGAGAGUGGAAUUCCCGGUGUAGCGGUGAAAUGCGCAGAUAUCGGGAAGAACACCCGUGGCGAAGGCGGCUCUCUGGGACGGUACUGACGCUGAGACGCGAAAAGCGUGGGGGAGCGAACAGG